rnacentral:rRNA from 1 species
UGCUGCAUGGCUGUCGUCAGCUCGUGUUGUGAAAUGUUGGGUUAAGUCCCGCAACGAGCGCAACCCUUAUCCUUUGUUGCCAGCGGUCCGGCCGGGAACUCAAAGGAGACUGCCAGUGAUAAACUGGAGGAAGGUGGGGAUGACGUCAAGUCAUCAUGGCCCUUACGACCAGGGCUACACACGUGCUACAAUGGCGCAUACAAAGAGAAGCGACCUCGCGAGAGCAAGCGGACCUCAUAAAGUGCGUCGUAGUCCGGAUUGGAGUCUGCAACUCGACUCCAUGAAGUCGGAAUCGCUAGUAAUCGUGGAUCAGAAUGCCACGGUGAAUACGUUCCCGGGCCUUGUACACACCGCCCGUCACACCAUGGGAGUGAGUUGCAAAAGAAGUAGGUAGCUUAACCUUCGGGAGGGCGCUUACCACUUUGUGAUUCAUGACUGGGGUGAAGUCGUAACAAGGUAACCGUAGGGGAACCUGCGGUUGGAUCACCUCCUUACCUUAAAGAAGC